rnacentral:rRNA from 1 species
UGGGGAAUAUUGCACAAUGGGGGCAACCCUGAUGCAGCAAUGCCGCGUGUGUGAAGAAGGCCUGCGGGUUGUAAAGCACUUUCAAUAGUGAGGAAAAGUUGUAGGUUAAUAACUUGCAGCCCUGACGUUAACUAUAGAAGAAGCACCGGCUAACUCCGUGCCAGCAGCCGCGGUAAUACGGAGGGUGCGAGCGUUAAUCGGAAUUACUGGGCGUAAAGCGUGCGUAGGCGGCACGGUCAGUCGGAUGUGAAAGCCCCGGGCUUAACCUGGGAAUUGCAUUCGAUACUGCCGAGCUAGAGUAUGUUAGAGGAAAGUGGAAUUCCCGGUGUAGCGGUGAAAUGCGUAGAUAU